UACGGAGGGGGCUAGCGUUGUUCGGAAUUACUGGGCGUAAAGCGCGCGCAGGCGGCUUCCUAAGCGCCACGUGAAAGCCCCGGGCUCAACCCGGGAGGGUCGCGGCGAACUGGGAGGCUUGAGGCCGGUAGAGGUGGGUGGAACUCCUGGUGGAGUGGUGAAAUGCGUAGAGAUCAGGAAGAACACCCGUGGCGAAGGCGGCCCACUGGGCCGGUGCUGACGCUGAGGCGCGAAGGCGUGGGGAGCGAACGGG
rnacentral:rRNA from 1 species